CAACUAUGCCCUCAUUUUUUUAAAAAAGGAAAAAAAAAAGAAAUUGGGUUUCAGUCUUAAUUCCUUUUCUGUGCCAGGUUUGAUUUCGUGCGUGCGUGUGAAUGUGUUCCGUUUCGUGUUUUGUUUUUGUUGUUGUUGUUUUCUGUUGUUCGGUUUUAUUUGCUCCCCUCUGGCAGAUCUCACUAAUGGGGACCCCUCCUCCUCUACACACUUUUCACUAGCUUUGUCAAAACCAGGCCUGUCUUAAAUACUCGCAGAAACCCCCAAAGGGGAUUCCUAAUACAAAGCAGGUAUUACUAAUACGUGCUCUGGGGUAGUAAAUAGAAUAUGCCACGAAGAUUAAGCAGGAUAAUAUGUAGAAGCUGCC
rnacentral:lncRNA from 1 species